CAAAUAAAUGAGCUAUCAAUGCAUCUUGAGGAUCUGGAAAAACAGCAGCAAAUCAAAGCCAAAACUAGUAGGAGAAAAGAAAUAAUUAAAAUUAGAGAAAAAUCAAGAAAAUUUAAUCCAAAAAAAUACAAAAACUAGCAGAACGAAGACCUGGGUUUUUUAAAAAAUAAACAAAAUUGGCACACCAUUGGCCCAAGUAACCAAAAAAAAAAAAAAAAAGGAGAAAGAAAGUCAAUAAAAAUAGAGAUGAAGAACAGAUACCACAGAGAUACAAAGAGUCAUCAGAAAUUACUACAAAGAGCUGUCUGCCCACAAACUGGGAGACCUGGAAGAAAUGGAUAGAUUGCUGGAGGGGUGGGAGUAUGUGUAGGAGGGUGGCUAUGGGGGAAGAAUAAUUAUAUUCCUAAAGUUGUACUUAUGAAAAUUGUAUUCCUUAAAAAAAUUAAGUAAUUAAUUUUUAAAAAUGUAGUCUCCAAACCCCCAUGUGAUAUAUACCUGGUUGACUUACACGUAGAUUUCUGGACCUGAUCCCAAAUAUCUGAGCCUGAAUGUGGGAGAUCACAAUGGAGUACAAAAAAGAGUGAUAUAGCCUAAAUCCUACAUAUUAAUUAAUAAUUUUCAUUACACAUUUUUCAACACAUUUUUAAAAUUAUCUUAUUUAAGAGAGGUAGGGAGACAUUGUCAAACAGAGCUCCCAUCCAUUGGCUCACUCCCCUAAAUACCCACAAUAGUCAGAAUUCAGCUGGGACCAAAGCUAGGGCCAGGUCUCAAUCCAGAUCUCCUAUGUGGUUGACAGGCGCCCAGUCACUUGAUUCGUCACCAGGAACUCCCAGAGCCUGCCUUUACAGGAAGCUGAAGAAGCCAGAAAUCAAAUCCAGGUUCUCUGAUCUGGGACAUGGGUUUCUAAAUCAUUAUGCUAAAUGCCCUCUCUACACAUGCUCUUUUAAAAGUUAUUAUCCCAGAACAUUUCACAGAUGAGGAGAAUGGGGUCCCACUGGACUGGGAGUUUCUUUGCCGUGGGGACCCUCUGUGCUGUAGAGCAUGCUCAGCAGCAUGCAUGGCCCAGUGGAUCCCAGUGUCCCCUCCAUCCUACUCAUGUCACCCAGAAAUGGCUUUUUUUUUUUUUUGACAGGCAGAGUUAGACAGUGAGAGAGAGAGAGAGACAGAGAGAAAGGUCUUCCUGCCAUUGGUUCACCCCCAAAAUGGCCGCCACGGCUGGCCAAAAAUGUCUGAAGACAACACAGAGCACAACUGUGCCCCUCUUUGUUGAGAAACUGGGAACCAGAGAAACAUUGACAGGGAACAGUAUGUUCACCUAUUAAUAUUCUAUUCUUUAAUGACAGUGAAACCUGAAUAGCUUAAAAAUAUCACUGAGAGACUAGUUCCUAUUUCCAAUUUUUGUCACCAUCAGCCCAACCAAUGACCAAUCAACUUUUACAGUAAAGUCAAUGUUCUUUGUCAUCUCCCUGGUUUAUUAAUCACCCUUUUAUUUUCCUCAUAUAAUUAUCUUUUGACCGAGUCAAGUUGGAGAUGGUAAUUUUUUCGUUGUUAGCAGCGGAUCUCAGUAUGCAGAAACUGAAGACUAAUUCCUGAGCAAUAUGAUUGCAUAUGACUAUUUUUCUGUUCUUAAAUAGGAGAAUGAUGCUCCACAGCUCCAACGACCGACAUGCUCCUAAAUUAUUGACCGAGAAUCAACAGUCAUGAGAUUAGUUAGUCUGGUAGUUUUGCAUAAAAACCCAGUCUUCCAGUAACCUAAUUUCAGAGUUUCUCAGUGGCAUGGCAUUCAGUCUAGUAUCACAACAGGAUUUCCUCUUUUGUUUCGGAACUGCAUGGGCAGAAGUUCCCCAGGCUGUGCCAUUCUCAGUCUCAGUAUGAACUUGGCUGGGCUUUGGAUCUAAGCAAAGUAUUCAGUGUCUGUAUCACUGGACCUUCCACUGGGAGCAAGGAGGAACAUCCGGCCUCCUCCACUGCAUCUUUAGGGUCCUAAGAGAAAGCACAAAACAAGCCACCAUGCGUGCGCCACACUGUCAGGGAAAUUCUAAUGAGUGUGGGCUUGGCAGCUUUGUUCUCUAGGAAGGAUUCUGUCAGUAGAGAGCCACCUACAUGGGCAUAAAAAUGGAAAACAGCAGCAGUGUGUGCAUUCCAUUAGCUGGAGCCCUGGAAUGUUCAGUGGUUUUCUUAAAACUACUUUCUCAUAAAUCCCCAUGAAGCACUUUGUUCUACUUCCAGUAAAAUACAUUUAAAUUUCAAAUUAAAGUAGUUUCAUGUGCAAAAAUAAAGCAUUUGAUUGUAUUUUAAGGAUGAGAGGA
rnacentral:lncRNA from 1 species